UACAGAGGGUGCAAGCGUUAAUCGGAAUUACUGGGCGUAAAGCGCGCGUAGGUGGUUUGUUAAGUUGGAUGUGAAAGCCCCGGGCUCAACCUGGGAACUGCAUCCAAAACUGGCAAGCUAGAGUGCGGUAGAGGGUGGUGGAAUUUCCUGUGUAGCGGUGAAAUGCGUAGAUAUAGGAAGGAACACCAGUGGCGAAGGCGACCACCUGGACUGAUACUGACACUGAGGUGCGAAAGCGUGGGGAGCAAACAGG
rnacentral:rRNA from 1 species